UAAAACAUUGCCCAAACCAAUGGGUCAGGUAUCGAUCGCUGCACACACACACGCAGCUUCAGUUUUCACGGCACAGUCACAUUAGCAUUCUCGGCCCAUGGGCCCGCACUGACAACUAACAGAGAUAUCCACGUCCUCACUAUUUGUUCCCUCAUUUCGUCUUCAUUUUAUUUUCUGCCGGGGCUCAAAUUUCCACACAUGUUGCAAACGGUGUUUUAUGGCAGAAAUAAGAAUCGAUCCAGUCUAGUGAAGAACACAGCCGUGUCUAGAGCUGCACGGGGGCACAUGUUUACGUGGCCUACAUGAUAUUUCGUCAGGAUUUGUCUUUUUCAUUUAUUACCUCGAUAAUCACAUGUUUAAUGAAUGAAAUGAAUAAAGCAAUCAGGCGCAUUUUUGGCACCAAGCAUUGAAUUGUGGUUUCACACGCCGUGUGACGCUGCCCAUAUAUAUUCAGCUGCCACUAUUUCGCCCGAGUUUCUCUCAUUUGAUUUCCCAUUAAUAACUACACUCAUUACAUAAGAACGGAGUCAUUAUACGCCAAGUCAGGAUCAACGUGCUGAGUCUGAGAAAGUACUUCACGUUUUACUGAUGCACCAACCGGUAUCACUGUGCACUGGUAAAUAUGUUAGCCUGCCUUCUUCGUCACUUGUUUUAACUGUUGCAUAUUUUAACCAUACUUAAUGCCCUUCCAAAUGAACCUUAAGAGACAAAGCAAUCAGCUAUUAAAAUAAUUGAAGCAAGGUUCCCACAAAUUUGCAACAUACACUAUCCGCCGCACUCUGAAAGAACAGCAGAUAUGUGAUAUUUUUUAAACAGUAAUUCUCAUCGCUCAGACUUCCAAGUUUUUGUUUUGCUCUAAGCCUUGUUCCUCGCUUGCUUUGUUGUUUUAAAAUAUGCAUGCCGCUCAGGAAUGCAAGUCACGAGUCCAAACUUUGUGUCCAACCUCCCACACGAAAUGAUCCUUUUAUAAGGAACCCGAUAUGUCUCAAUCUGCACUUAACUGGGAGCCUUUGGGUUUGGAGCAGUAAGUCCCUUCUCAAAAAAAAACAUUGCACCGAGAUUGCAUCCAAAACACCAGGCCUUUUUUUUCCACAGGGAAGAGAUGUAGCACACAUAAUUAAAGAAGGCAGCGGCCAGAGGGGAUGUCUGCAAAAAAUACCUUACUAGGGUAAAAUGAAGAAAGAACUCAAAGGCUUUGUUCCCUGUUGCAACCGAGAGGGAUUACUGGGUUUGAAAGCAAUCCUAGCACUGAGGUUAAGAAAUAAUUGAGUCAAAUGAACUUUCAUUUCAAUAAUCCCAACUGAUAACACGGUUUGAAAGUACCAUGCCAUUUUCAUUUUCGGUCCAGAUAUUGGAAUCAUCAGGUGACCUCACUCUUCCUGCUCGCAUCUCCCAGACUACUUUUCACUCUUUCCAGAGAGUACCAAAUAGUGAUGAACUUGGGUUAAAUAAGAAUGGCAUUUUUCAGAUUACUGUAACUACUUGAAUGGACUUCAGUUUGAAAAUAUAAUUCAGGCACGGCUGUUUUGAAAUCUACUGCUGAAUAAAUAGUAACUCAUCUACAAACCUUCUAAUGAACAUGCCCAACUUUGUUUCAAACUCAUUGAGAAAUCCGAUGGUAUGAAUUACUCCAACUGAUUCCUCCGACUUGAGACAACAGAGUGGCGUGUAUCAAUUGAUGGCUCCCUUUCUUACAUUCCACUUCAGAAAUCAACUUACUAGUUAAUUCAACUGGGAAAUUAAAGAACAAACAUUACAACUUAAUAAAAAUAGAUUUGCUUUUUAGGGAACAAACUACAAUUUCAAGAGCAAAUUCAACCUAAAGACAUUUCUAGGUUAGAAAUGAAGGUAAAUCAUUAUUCUAACAUUGUACUAACCACUUGAAUCUGGCACUACUAUCUUUCACAUCCCACCUUCUGAAUCAUAAUGAUUUGAUCUAUUCAAAGAUUGUCACGUCUCAUGUCAACAAAUUACUUUGCUUUCAAUUUGAAUUUUUUUUAAUUAAUGAACACCACUGACAACGAGUUACUGAAACUAAAGGUGAUAAAAACCUUUAUUUUGAUUCAGAUUUUAUUUUAAUAUUGUCAUUUGAAAGUAAAAGCUUUAAAAUCAGAGUCAUCACACAGCGAGAUUAAAAGCAAGAGUUGAUUUAUACAUUGGAGAACGCAACUUUUCAUUUCAGUGCUUCAGUUUGAUAAGUGGAUUUGAAAACUAUCAAAAAUAAAAAUCAUGGUUUUGCUUUGAA